GCGGACAUAGUUUAACAAAAACACUAGAUUGUGAUUCUAGGAAUAAGGGUUAAAAUCCUUUUGUCAGCC
rnacentral:tRNA from 1 species